GAUGAGGCCUCUGUUGUGGUGCUGGGAAGGUGGUGCUUGGGCUAUGGAGAAACAAUCCCACAACCUGAAUAAUAGCCUGUGGCCAACAGAAUUCUGUGUCUUUUCUUCCAAGUAAAGCCGGCUACUGGGCAAAUUCCAACUCGGGUGAUCCCAUUGUUUUCAACAUUAAUCAUUCUCAGAAAUAUUGAGUUUUCUAAAGUGUUUUGCCAAGGCGGCCCUUGGAAACCUGUCUAUGCUUCUGGAUGAACCAACCUAAGUCACAUCACUCCAGAUAUCAUGGAGGAUAUCCAUAUGGUUAUAUGGAAUCAUAGAAACUUGUGGACGGAGGAGACUUAGGGAUUAUCUAGUCCAACCUUCUUGAUUUCAGGACUACCACCAGCCUCGCCUUUGUGCUGACAAGACUUCCUGAUACGUCCUCAAGGAUGAUCAAAUGAACUUCAUGACUUGUUUCUGUUUCUGCCCUUGGACGACUUCUGCGGAAAUCAUCUCUAGGGCCUUGUUCUGUUGCCUCCACCUCCCGGGUUCAAGCAAUUCUCCUGCCUCAGCCACCUGAGUAGGUGGGACUACAGGCACGCACCACCACGCCUGGCUAAUUUUUGUGUUUUUGGAAGAGACGGGGUUUCACCAUGUUGGCCAGGCUGAGCUCAUUCCUUUUUAUUGCUGAGUAAGAAUAUGCUACAAUUUUUUAUCCAUUUAUCUAUUGAUGUACAUUUGGCUUGUUUCUAGUUUUUGGCUACUACAAGUAAAGCUGCUAUGAACAGUCAUGUAUAUAUUGUGUGGACAUAUACUUUCAUUUCUCGUGGAUAAAUAGCUAGGAGUAGAAUGGUUAGGUCAUAUGGUGACUGCAUAUUUACAUUUUAAGAAAUUGUUUCUCAAAGAGGUUGAACAAUUUUACAUUUUCACUAGUAGUGUAUGAAAUUUCUGGUUGCUCCACAUCCUUGAAAACACUUGAUAUAAUCAGUCUUUUCAAUUUUAGCCAUUCUAGUGGUUAUGUAGUGGUGUAGUUGAACAUUUUUUUCAUGUGCUUAUUUGCUAUUUGUAUAUCUUUUUUGAAGUGUUAAUUAAAAUAUUCUGCCCAUUUUUAAUAAAAUUGUGGUGGUGGUGUUAGAGUUUUUAAAAAAUGUAUUCCAGAUAUCAGUCCUUUAACAGAUACAUUAUUUGUAAAGAUUUUCUCCCAGUCUAGGGUUUCUCAUUUCCUUUUUAAAAUAGUGUCUUUGGAUAAAGUCUAAUUUAUGGUUUCUUUUUAUUCCUGUAUCCAAAUCUUUGCCAAACUAAGGUCACUAUGAUUUUUUUUCCUAUUGUGCUCUAGAAGUUUUAUAAUUUUAACUCUUGUAUUUAGGCUUAUGUUUUAUUUUGAGUUAAAUUUUGUAUAUACUAAGCGGUAAGAAUCAAGGUUCAUUUUUGUGCAUAUAGAUACCAAGUUGUUCCAGAACCAUUUAUUGAAAAGAUUAUUCUUUCUCUUUUAAAUUGUCCUGGCACCUUUGUCAACAAUCCUAAAUAUGUGGGUCUAUGUUCUAUUCUAAUUCAUUUAUUGAUCUAUUUUUAUGCGAAUACCACACUGUCUUGGUUAAUGAAACUUUGUAAAAGCUUUGAAGUUAGGCAGUACGAACCCUCUGGCUCUUUUUUCAAAGUUGUUUUUCCAAAGAAUUUUCUACAGAGUCAGUCGUGUUAUCUGCAAAUAAAGCCAGUUUUAUUUCUUCUUUUCAAAU
rnacentral:lncRNA from 10 species